rnacentral:rRNA from 1 species
GGGGUAAACGGUACCGUACGGGUAACCGUACGGUACCGUCGGUACGUACGGGGGGACGGUAACGUAAUUACGGUAAACGGUAAGUAGACGUAAUACCGACCAGUAAGAAGUAGGAGUGUUGUCGAUGACAUUUGUCUUUGUAAAGGGUAGCGAAUUAGCAUCACUACCAGAUGGACCGUGCGUUGUAGUUAGUCUAGUUUGGUGGGGUAACGGGACGUCACCCAAGGACGACGAUACAUAGCCGACCUGAGAGGGUGGAUCGGCCACACUGGGACUGAGACACGGCCCAGACUCCUACGGGAGGCAGCAGUAGGGAAUCUUCGGCAAUGGACGGAAGUCUGACCGAGCAACGCCGCGUGAGUGAAGAAGGUUUUCGGAUCGUAAAGCUCUGUUGUAAGAGAAGAACGAGUGUGAGAGGUGGAAAGUUCACACUGUGUACGGUAUCUUACCAGAAAGGGACGGCUAACUACGUGCCAGCAGCCGACGGUAAUACGUAGGUCCCGAGCGUUGUCCGGUAUUUAUUGGGCGUAAAGCGAGCGCAGGCGGUUAGAUAAGUCUGAAGUUAAAGGCUGUGGCUUAACCAUAGUACGGUCGACGCGGCCG